UGUCAAGUGUAGGAACGCUUUGCCUAGCCC
rnacentral:piRNA from 1 species